AUUACACUACACGCAGGCUUGACAUUUAAUUUAUACCGUGUCCUUGUCCAUAUGUGAAGUAAAAGCUAAGAUUUAAAUGUUCCUCAACAUACCUACAGUUAAAGGGGAAGUGAUGAUCAUAACUGUCAGUGAAGCCCAUAAAAAUGUUCAUAAAAGCAAAAAAAAAAAAAAAAAAACCACUGAGUUAUUAACAUACUCAUUAAGUAAGAAUUGAGUCUGGGGGUCGAACAAGUGUGAAGAGUGAGGCAAUUACAUUUUUGCAUAUAAAGUCUGUCCCUGAUUUUCAGUUUAUUAGAACCAAGAUCAUCAGUGCUUUUUUCGGAUAGCUCUCCGCCUCUGAAAUGAGCACUCUGUGUCCAAUUAGCUGCUCACCAACUAAAUUCACAAAAUCAGAAAUGUACUAAAUAAGAUGCCUGGAUUGAAACACAAUGCCCAAAAUAACGUGUUCGUGUGUGAUUUGGGAUGUUGUAAGAAAAAAAUGGUGCACUUAAAACUCCCACUCUUCUUCUUCCCAUAGAGUGGUUUUUAGUGCUUACCGUCCUGCUAAAUCCAUUAAAAAUACACUUUACAAAAGUCCUCCUUCAGUCAUGUAAUUGCUUGCAAUGAACAAAUGCUGACCUGAACAACCUUCUGAAGAUCAGGGACUAGUGAACUUUCUCAGACCCUGAAAUUGUCAGAAGGUUUCUUUUAAGCUCACUCUUAGAUAAACAUAUAAAAUUUGACCUUUCAAAUAGCACAAGAAUGUGUGCCAAGAAGCAUUAAUGGGGGGGGGGGGGGAUGGUUAAUGUUUCCUAUAACCUGUAAUAUAAAUGAGGAUAGACAUAAAUAAUGUAAAAGGUGAUGGGCUAAUUCAUUACAUGGGCUAUAUCUUAGUAGCACGAUUGCAACUAAUAUACUAAUUAAUGAACAGUCACACAGAUCUUCGAUGUCUGAAAGUAACAAAAAUAUCCUUAAAAAUGAGAUAUCGCUCAAACACACAAAGCUUAUUAAAAAUGACACUAGCAAUAAGUUUGCAAUAUAAUAUAAGGAGAAAAACUUACCAGAGGACAUUUCAGGAAGCAAGAUGACCGUGAGAAAAAUAUAUCCAGGAUUCAAACAGAUAUUCCAUGAUCUUCCAAAUCAAGGUAGUGAUGAGCUGCAGGGUGGUGGAACUUUGAAAAAAAUCAGCAGUUCCUGGUGGCGUGUAACCAACUAAAAAGCAGCUACACAGAAAGCCACGAACCCCCCCACCCCCACCCAAGGAAAAGAAACAAAAUGUGAAAAGAGGUGCCUUUUAUUGGGGAGGGUGGGACGAGGGGGGGCUUAUUUGUAAUGAUCCUUAGGCAGACAAAGUGAACAUUUACUGACUGUCCAUGCCCAUACAGUGGGAGAAAAUAGAAGCCGUGUGACCCCAGAGAACAGGAGGUGAAAUACAGAUAAAUCUGCAAAGAGAAGUAAAAGGAUGUGUUGAAGACAAGAGAUAAAGAGAGAACUAGUGAGCGAGGCUGUAGUCAUCGUGAUAGAUACAGCAGCAGGAAUGAUUUAGGCUGCUGGGAAGGAUCCAAUGAGAAUUCAAGAGGGCACUGCUUCGGAAAUCCUGCUCCCUUCUCCCCACUCGCAGUUCAAGAGUCACCUGCGUUGAGAACAUUCUGAUUAGGAUUAAUAGUAUUCCAUCAGUGCAUUUCACUAGGAUUUCCCUUGAACUCUCACUCGCAGCAACUGAGGGAGGCGCAGUAAGGAAGCCCAUACGACCCCCCGCCCCCCGACACACACACCCCACCACCCCCAAAUAAGCCACUGUGGUCACUUUAGGAUGAGCAGACCAGCAGCGAUUUGCACUGGGGGUGGAGACCGGAGGGCCGAAGAGGGGCCGAGGCCGCGUCGCCGGGCGCUUUCGGGGGCGCAGCGCGGAGGCUUAGGCUGGGGGGCCCGGCGCCCGCCCGGGUGAUGGGCUGCGGCGGCGGCAGGAGCCUCCCGGAGCCCGGCUUCCCGCAGAAUUCUGCAGCCCGCGCCUCGAGGCCAUCACUUCCCCCCCGAGAGCUCAGCUCCCAACGCCUUGCUUUAGAAGCUGGAGCUCUGGGGGACCUGGGGACCGUCCCCGGGGGAGCGGCGGCCGCGUCCCCCCGCGCUCCUGCACGGUCACCCGGGGAGAGAACCAGAAAAGGCUUUGCUGCCGAAUGCAUUCCCUUGUCGUGUUCGUGUCCCGACACGGCACACGCGAUCGCCUGAUGGAUCGGGAGGGAAAGGCAGAGUGGAAAUUGAUUUCUUGCAGAGACUGAGGCGCCGAAUGAUGGAAUAAACAUUUGCCCUGGAUAAAAAUGUUCUUGGCUGUGUUCCAACCCUAAUAAGGACCUACAGCAGAAGUUUUUCUUCAGUCAUCUAAUGUUACCCAAAAGAUUACUUGUGUGUUAUAUCUCUUUUUACACAGGCUGACAAAUGUUGGUAGGGGGAUCUGAGAUCCACACAAGGAGGAUGAAUGCCCUGAAUUACAUUUGUUACAAAUUCAACCUUAACAAUUGUGAUAUACAGAUAUACAAUCUUCCUAAGCUGCCUAAACCUACUUACCUAAAUUACUAUUCAAAGAAAUACAGUUAUUUGUUGAAGACCCAACCUAAGUUAGAAAAUGUAACAUUCGUGAAAUAAAUGUAAGGUUGUUGUUCUUUUAAAUAUUUGAAGAAUAAAAAGCUCAGGAUGAUACUGACUUUGUGACCCAUGGUUCCCUAACUUUAACAUAUUUUAUAGCACUUAAAAUUUGUUAAACUCUGUAAGUAUCUGAGCAUUAUAUUAAAUCAUAUGAUAAAAUUUGAUGAACCUCAAAAUAGAACCAUAGGUUUUUAUAUCUCUUAGUUAGCUCCUACCUGGUUUGUACUUAGACCCAUCUCAAAAAUUACACAUUUCAUUUUA